AGAGUAUCGUUGAGAAGGGAGUAUCAUCUGAAAACCAGAAACGAAAUAACACAGAGAGAUCUUCAUCUCUCUCUCUCACCUCCCUCACGAACCAACGUUCCUCCCUCUGUCACCGCACAGAAUCAACACCCACCUUCCAUUUACGUUCAACUUCCUCCGCCUGAAUCCCAUCACCCACGACACCCACCUCCACCACAACCCAGUUUCCGGGCUGCUCAUACCUUCUAUCUGCAUAACACCGUUCAACCUUCCAACACCCAUCACGCUGAUACGCUCAGCUCUUCCAUCACGAAACCCAUCUCAGACCCACGCUCCCCUUCUGUCUGCAUAUUACCAUCCGCCUGUAUCCGUAACGUAACCACUACCCAUCGGUCUUCUUCAACAUCCCACGCAAACCACUGCCCAGUUCUCACACUUCUGCAACAUCAAUUUCUUCACUUCCAACAACCACUUCCAUUUUUGUGGGAGGCAAAAGGAGAGUCGUCAUCAAUGUUAUUUAUCCCAAGAGAGGGAAAAGAAGUAUUGAAUAAACCUAAAGAAGGGAAAGAACACGGUCUCGCAACCAAGAGAAAGAGUAAGGAAGUCGAUUAUGCAAGGGGAAUGUGUUAG